GGCACGACACCGGAGAGGGAGCCUGAGAACGGCUACCACAUCCAAGGAUGGCAGCAGGCGCGCAAAUUACCCAAUCCCGACACGGGGAGGUAGUGACAAUAAAUAACAAUACGGGGUUCUUUAGGAUCUCGUAAUUGGAAUGAGUACAAUUUAAAUCUCUUAACGAGGAACAAUUGGAGGGCAAGUCUGGUGCCAGCAGCCGCGGUAAUUCCAGCUCCAAUAGCGUAUAUUAAAGUUGUUGCAGUUAAAAAGCUCGUAGUUGAAUUUCGGGGUUAGUAGGUUGGUCAUGCCUCUGGUAUGUACUGGUCUCACUGAUUCCUCCUUCCUGAUGAACCUUAAUGCCAUUAAUUUGGUGUUUUGGGGAAUUUGGACUGUUACUUUGAAAAAAUUAGAGUGUUUAAAGCAAGCUAACGCUUGAAUACAUUAGCAUGGAAUAAUGAAAUAGGACGUUCGAUCCUAUUUUGUUGGUUUCUAGGAUUGACGUAAUGAUUAAUAGGGAUAGUUGGGGGCAUUAKUAUUCAAUUGUCAGAGGUGAAAUUCUUGGAUUUAUUGAAGACUAACUACUGCGAAAGCAUUUGCCAAGGAUGUUUUCAUUAAUCAAGAACGAAAGUUAGGGGAUCGAAGACGAUCAGAUACCGUCGUCUCUUAACCAUAAACUAUGCCGACGAGGGAUCGGAUGAUGUUAACUUUUUAAUGACUCAUCGCGCCUACGGAACA
rnacentral:rRNA from 1 species